UACAGAGGUCUCAAGCGUUGUUCGGAUUCAUUGGGCGUAAAGGGUGUGUAGGUGGCGCCGUAAGUCGGGUGUGAAAUUUCGGAGCUUAACUCCGAAACUGCAUUCGAUACUGCCUUGCUCGAGGACUGGAGAGGAGAUUGGAAUUCACGGUGUAGCAGUGAAAUGCGUAGAUAUCGUGAGGAAGACCAGUGGCGAAGGCGGAUCUCUGGACAGUUCCUGACGCUGAGGCACGAAGGCCAGGGGAGCAAACGGG
rnacentral:rRNA from 1 species